rnacentral:rRNA from 1 species
UACGGAGGGUGCAAGCGUUAUCCGGAUUCACUGGGUUUAAAGGGUGCGUAGGCGGGUGUGUAAGUCAGUGGUGAAAUCCCAAAGCUUAACUUUGGAACUGCCGUUGAUACUAUACAUCUUGAAUACUGGGGAGGUGAGCGGAAUAUGUCAUGUAGCGGUGAAAUGCUUAGAUAUGACAUAGAACACCGAUUGCGAAGGCAGCUCACUACACAGUCAUUGACGCUGAGGCACGAAAGCGUGGGGAUCAAACAGG